AUUGAACGCUGGCGGCAGGCCUAACACAUGCAAGUCGAGCGGAUGACGGGAGCUUGCUCCUUGAUUCAGCGGCGGACGGGUGAGUAAUGCCUAGGAAUCUGCCUGGUAGUGGGGGACAACGUUUCGAAAGGAACGCUAAUACCGCAUACGUCCUACGGGAGAAAGCAGGGGACCUUUGGGCCUUGCGCUAUCAGAUGAGCCUAGGUCGGAUUAGCUAGUUGGUGGGGUAAUGGCUCACCAAGGCGACGAUCCGUAACUGGUCUGAGAGGAUGAUCAGUCACACUGGAACUGAGACACGGCCCAGACUCCUACGGGAGGCAGCAGUGGGGAAUAUUGGACAAUGGGCGAAAGCCUGAUCCAGCCAUGCCGCGUGUGUGAAGAAGGUCUUCGGAUUGUAAAGCACUUUAAGUUGGGAGGAAGGGCAGUAAGUUAAUACCUUGCUGUUUUGACGUUACCGACAGAAUAAGCACCGGCUAACUCUGUGCCAGCCGCCGCGGUAAAAC
rnacentral:rRNA from 1 species